GAGCCCUACGGGACGCAGCAGUGAGGAAUAUUGGUCAAUGGGCGGAAGCCUGAACCAGCCAAGCCGCGUGAGGGAAUAAGGCCCUACGGGUCGUAAACCUCUUUUGCCGGGGAGCAAGGGCCGGGACGAGUCCCGGUCCGGAGAGUACCCGGAGAAAAAGCAUCGGCUAACUCCGUGCCAGCAGCCGCGGUAAUACGUAGGUGGCAAGCGUUAUCCGGAUUUACUGGGUGUAAAGGGCGUGUAGGCGGGAAAGCAAGUCAGAUGUGAAAACCAUGGGCUCAACCUUUGGCCUGCUUUUGAAACUG
rnacentral:rRNA from 1 species